UCGGUGUAUAUGAUGAUCACCAAGCAAUGCAUAGUUCAUCUGAAACUACUGAUGAAAUCUUUACCUUCACAACGUCUUUCGCUCCCAUCUGAUCACACCAA
rnacentral:snoRNA from 1 species